UACGUAGGGUCCGAGCGUUGUCCGGAUUUAUUGGGCGUAAAGAGCUCGUAGGCGGCUCAGUAAGUCGGAUGUGAAAACUCAGGGCUCAACCCUGAGACGCCAUCCGAUACUGCUGUGGCUUGAAUCUGGUAGGGGAGCACGGAAUUCCUGGUGUAGCGGUGAAAUGCGCAGAUAUCAGGAGGAACACCGGCGGCGAAGGCGGUGCUCUGGGCCAGUAUUGACGCUGAGGAGCGAAAGCGUGGGUAGCAAACAGG
rnacentral:rRNA from 1 species